GGACCCGCACAAGCGGUGGAGCAUGUGGUUUAAUUCGAUGCAACGCGAAAAACCUUACCUACUCUUGACAUACUUGGGAGCUCUUGUAAUGAGAGUGUGCCUUUUGGAACCAAGAUACAGGUGCUGCAUGGCUGUCGUCAGCUCGUGUCGUGAGAUGUUGGUUAAGUCCCGCAACGAGCGCAACCCUCGUCCUUAGUUGCUACCAUUUAGUUGGGCACUUUAAGGAAACUGCCGGUGAUAAGCCGGAGGAAGGUGGGGAUGACGUCAAGUCCUCAUGGCCCUUACAGGCUGGGCUACACACGUGCUACAAUGGCGAUGACAGUGGGCAGCGACCCCGCAAGGGUGAGCUAA
rnacentral:rRNA from 1 species